rnacentral:rRNA from 1 species
GGUUAAGCGACUAAGCGUACACGGUGGAUGCCCUGGCAGUCAGAGGCGAUGAAGGACGUGCUAAUCUGCGAAAAGCGUCGGUAAGGUGAUAUGAACCGUUAUAGCCGGCGAUGUCCGAAUGGGGAAACCCAGUGCAAUUCGUUGCACUAUCGUUAACUGAAUACAUAGGUUAACGAGGCGAACCGGGGGAACUGAAACAUCUAAGUACCCCGAGGAAAAGAAAUCAACCGAGAUUCCCCCAGUAGCGGCGAGCGAACGGGGAGCAGCCCGGAGUCUGAAUCAGCUUGUGUGUUAGUGGAAGCGUCUGGAAAGUCGCAGGGUACAGGGUGAUACUCCCGUACACUAAAACAUACAGGCUGUGAACUCGAAGAGUAGGGCGGGACACGUGGUAUCCUGUCUGAAUAUGGGGGGACCAUCCUCCAAGGCUAAAUACUCCUGACUGACCGAUAGUGAACCAGUACCGUGAGGGAAAGGCGAAAAGAACCCCGGCGAGGGGAGUGAAAAAGAACCUGAAACCGUGUACGUACAAGCAGUAGGAGCCC